UAUCAAUUAAUAUUUCAUGAAAGUAAAACGACUUUGUGUCUACGAGGAAUACUAGAUGGACAAUGAAACAAUAUAAGGAAAUUCAGACAAAUAUAAAAGAGAAAUCGGUCGACUGAAUCGAAGAGGGUACUGCGGAACGUUAUCCCAAUCCGUUCAAGCAUACGGCUGAGUCAAAGACCAAUACUACAAUCUACAUAAUAAGAUACUAUGGAUUAACAUAAAAAYUACUAUAUUUUAUUAUCUACUCAAGCUCUGACGGCAAAAUAAUUUUAACUCGUACCUUUAUGCUGCGGUGGUGACAACGAUUUCCAGAGCACAAAUGACUUUUUCCUUUCGUUGACUGCCGUUGCUAUGUUACUCCGCUUUUCGCCUUUCUUUCUCCCAAUUGGGUAAUUGUCUACGACUAUUCUUUACUUCCUACAAACAAGCAAUGUUAUCAGUGGUUUGACAACAAGUUAUUUACGCUGAGUUGCAAGCAGCCACAGAGRAGAGCUAACUAUGAAUGUGAACAAUAAGGAGAUCUGGAAGAUUAUGUAUAUUUUUCAUAAGCUGUGUUCUAAGUGAUAAUAGUCAUAAGCCUCUGGGAGAAGACUGAUUACCAUGGAUACGUCACGUUCUUAAAAAAGUUUAGUUUGUUGUCAUGGGGAUAAUGAAUGAUCUAUGAAUGAGAUAAAACUUAUAAUUCUUACAGAGCAAAUAGYGAAGAUUUGUCUACAGGGACUGCGUGUAAAUCGCCUUCCCUCAUCGUGUACCCAAUCGAAUUGUUGAUUGAAAAAGGCAACCCGGCAGCAUCGAAGCUAGGAACGAAGAGGAUUUUGGGUACUUAGUACUUGGUUACUUUUUUCCAAUUUUUCAUGGCAAAUUUCUUGAAGAGAAAGCCAUGAUUAAGGCUUGUAAAUUGUAUGCACUAACUUAUAAAAAUCGAUCAUUUCUAUUUCACUUCAUUUUGAAUAAAAUGCACUAGUUUUGAUACUGGACCAUGAGCUGAAUUAAUUCAAGAGCAAACAAAAUCGUCCAAUUACAGUAUAUGAGGCUUAAUACAAACGACUUAAGAACACUACAAGAGAMAUUUUGACAACUUCAAGGCCGAUAAAAAAUGAAUUAGCUCAACAAUAAUUAGUGUGCAGAUGUUUUGUCGGUUCGUAGCUCAUCUUAAGCACGUUGUAUCUAGURAACUGKGGAUCAAAAGAAAAUAGUAGAUGGCAAUUGAAUCACCAGUGAAGUUUGUGUUUGAAUAUAUAAACUAUAAUUAUAAUUCUUUCCUUUUCUCUUGAUUUCUUUUAUGUACAUUUUUUUCAGUUAAAUACAAAAAAUCUGUCGUCUUUAUAUCAGAUGCAUCAUGGUGUUUUUUUGGGCAUUUGAUUUAGAUUCAUUUAGUGAUUUUCGCUACAUGUUAGAUUCAAAUUAACUGACCUCUUUUCUUAAUAGGGUCAUMAAAAAUUGAACAUAUUCUGCACGUUCGUGACAAAUCAUUUGAAAUAUCAGCUAUCCUAAUUAGGAUGUUACAUGGC